GACGUAGGGUGCAAGCGUUGUCCGGAUUUAUUGGGCGUAAAGAGCUCGUAGGCGGCUUGUUGCGUCGACUGUGAAAACCCGCGGCUUAACCGCGGGCUUGCAGUUGAUACGGGCAGGCUAGAGUUCGGUAGGGGAGACUGGAAUUCCUGGUGUAGCGGUGAAAUGCGCAGAUAUCAGGAGGAACACCGGUGGCGAAGGCGGGUCUCUGGGCAAUUCCUGACGCUGAGGCGCGAAAGCGUGGGGAGCAAACGGG
rnacentral:rRNA from 1 species